rnacentral:rRNA from 1 species
AAAUUGAAGAGUUUGAUCAUGGCUCAGAUUGAACGCUGGCGGCAGGCCUAACACAUGCAAGUCGAACGGUAACAGGAAWCAGCUUGCUGWUUYGCUGACGAGUGGCGGACGGGUGAGUAAUGUCUGGGAAACUGCCUGAUGGAGGGGGAUAACUACUGGAAACGGUAGCUAAUACCGCAUAA